rnacentral:rRNA from 1 species
AACGAACGCUGGCGGCAUGCCUAACACAUGCAAGUCGAACGAGACCUUCGGGCCUAGUGGCGCACGGGUGCGUAACGCGUGGGAACCUGCCCGUAGGUACGGAAUAACUCCCCGAAAGGGGUGCUAAUACCGGAUAAUGUCUUCGGACCAAAGAUCUAUGGCCGUUGGCUGGGCCCGCGUUGGAUUAGCUAGUUGGUAGGGUAAAAGCCUACCAAGGCGACGAUCCAUAGCUGGUCUGAGAGGAUGAUCAGCCACACUGGGACUGAGACACGGCCCAGACUCCUACGGGAAGCAGCAGUGGGGAAUAUUGGACACUGGGCGAUGGCCUGAUCCAGCCAUGCCGCGUGAGUGAUGAAGGCCUUAGGGUUGUAAAGCUCUUUUACCCGGGAUGAUAAUGACGGUACCGGGAGAAUAAGCUCCGGCUAACUCCGUG